rnacentral:rRNA from 1 species
CCUACGGGGGGCUGCAGUGGGGCAUAUUGCACAAUGGGCGCAAGCCUGAUGCAGCCAUGCCGCGUGUGUGAAGAAGGCCUUCGGGUUGUAAAGCACUUUCAGCGGGGAGGAAGGCGUUAAGGUUAAUAACCUUGGCGAUUGACGUUACCCGCAGAAGAAGCACCGGCUAACUCCGUGCCAGCAGCCGCGGUAAUACGGAGGGUGCAAGCGUUAAUCGGAAUUACUGGGCGUAAAGCGCACGCAGGCGGUCUGUCAAGUCUGAUGUGAAAUCCCCGGGCUCAACCUGGGAACUGCAUUCGAAACUGGCAGGCUAGAGUCUUGUAGAGGGGGGUAGAAUUCCAGGUGUAGCGGUGAAAUGCGUAGAGAUCUGGAGGAAUACCGGUGGCGAAGGCGGCCCCCUGGACAAAGACUGACGCUCAGGUGCGAAAGCGUGGGGAGCAAACAGGAUUAGAUACCCGGGUAGUC